UGCGUAGGGGGCUAGCGUUAUCCGGAAUUACUGGGCGUAAAGGGUGCGUAGGUGGUUUCUUAAGUCAGAGGUGAAAGACUACGGCUCAACCGUAGUAAGCCUUUGAAACUGGGAAACUUGAGUGCAGGAGAGGAGAGUGGAAUUCCUAGUGUAGCGGUGAAAUGCGUAGAUAUUAGGAGGAACACCAGUAGCGAAGGCGGCUCUCUGGACUGUAACUGACGCUGAGGCACGAAAGCGUGGGGAGCAAACAGGAUUAGAUACCCCCGUAGUCCCUGAG
rnacentral:rRNA from 1 species